CUUCGAAAUCACAUGGGGCGGGAAAACUCUGGAUGCAAACGCUCGCCGAAAAAUGUCGCCAAACUCCGCAUCCAAUCCACCGAUCCCCAACUUUUGAAAAUUAAAUUCCUUCGUCUUGAACAGGUUGGUGGUUCGUCCCCCCUUUUGGUUCACUAUCUGUGUGGAGCACACACAACUAAUAAGAAUGCGAUGUAAAUACGGCUUCGUAACCUCUAACCGUCAGUGAAAAGUUGUCCCUGUAUCUAACUGGUUCCGAACUGCACAUCCAGGAUACGGUUCCUCAGAUUGGAGCAAACUCUUUGUCUCCGCACCACAUCAAAACUUUUCAGCACUCUCGACAGACAACCCAAUGCUCAAUCAGUGAACUCCACACAGACUACACUCCUAUUUUCCGGCUUCAUCCAUCAGGUCACUGGUAUCCAUAGUGAUAUAAAUACAUCAACCAAUUCAUAAAGAUCAACCAAAGCAAUCUUGGCACUUGAAAAAACUCGUACACCUGACGUCCUACCCUUGGCAUUUACAGAAAACAAACUGGAUGCUGAACAAUGCCUGACCUUGAUGCCGGAAUUAGCAGGCGUUUCAAACUGCCAAACGGUAUCUUCGGUCAAAAGACCCGCGCUCCCUUCUCCUUCACGACGGCCCUCCACUAGCACCGUGACGACAUUGAACGUGAAGUUGGUACCCAGGUACUCGAAAGAGACCUUCUGGUUGAUCGUCAAGACCUACACAUACACCCAAGACUCAACCUCACCUCAUUGCGCCCAAUGAUUGCGUUACUGCGCUGGUGCACGACCACGUAAAAGAUGACGACUAUCCAGCUAACAGUUUCUGGCUACACUUAUGUUCACAACAACAACAGCCGCAAAUUCUCAUGUCUGCAGCGCUUCCGUCAAUCGCCAAAAGCUUAUCCGUCACCAGAGUAGCCUCCGACACAUGCGUAAACUUAGAGCAAGCUUCUAGUUUCAUACAAUGGCCGCAGACGGUUCAAAGGACAGGUUUAUUCAUGUCCACAACCCUGUAAAUCAUGCACUCCACAACCUAGUAAACAGCAUGCGCAUAUGCACCUGGCCGGAGAACCGUUUUGUAAGCUCCUUAGAGAUGAUAGUUGCAUCAACCUGCAUGCCAACCAUUCAAUGUCAUGCACCCAGCUGAUCACGUAGUACGCUUCUACCCACCCACUCAUAAUCUUGCAUCAUCCGAAGUACACUUCAGUUAUAGAUCAAGGGCAAGGAAAAUAAAUGGCAUCUUUUCACACUGAGAUUCCAUCAUACCGUCUCCUGUUUCUUGCCUUUCGACACGAAAUCCAGCUCGGCUUGGAUCAUCACCAAACCGAACUUGGAUGAUGGGAGCGCAUAUCUGAGCAAGCAAUAACACAGGCUCAUGAGAGGAAUCGCCAGGCGGUUACCCAAUCCCCUUACAUUCACUCACAUUAAAACUGAAGAAUAACUCUAAAUUUAGCCCUAGAAUUACAUGUGGGAAAGAACAAGAACAGUGCCGUAGCAAACGCAAAAAAAAAAAAAAAAAAAAAAAAAAAAGAGUAUCCAACUCCAAACAGAGCCUUGUCAACAGGUACAAAUAAGAAAGUACACGACAUAAAGGAUCCAUAAUCACCUUUCGACAGAGACAUUGUCCCCGUUUGAGACCUUCAAACAACGCCGUUGGAUGGCAUUGAGAGCGAGAGUACCGUCUUGGAUGGAAUCAUGCGGAGUAAUCUUAGGUCAAGGCUAAAACAUCGUCUAGAAGUACUUGUUAGGCGAUCCAAACUGUAGGAUACAAUCUCAGAAUGCAAAAGAAGCCUAAGACGCCACACCAUCCUGCCUGCCGAAAGACCAGAUCGGAUAAUUAUCCAGUUCACUCCCCCAACUUCCCCACCAGAAUCUUUUUAAAGAAACUUCGCGAUACGAUGACUAAAUGGCAAAAAUCAACGAUUAUCCAUUUCACUCAACGACAGUUUCAAUGAGAAAUGGUAUGCCACCGCAUUGUCUACUUCGUAUUGUCAGUGACUUGCAUUGCUUGACAGGCGUUAUCACAGUGGAACUCAAACCUAGAAUCUCAGUGAUUGCCAAAGCUAACAAAUCCAGAGGGUUCGAGGUAUUCAAAUCUCGAACGGCCGCUUCACCAACUUUAGCAAGCCUCACACAAGAUUGAGAUAGCUUACGCGUAGAACCGAACAAACGCUCUAAAAUGACAAAACAAAAUAAACAAACAAAUAAAAGACGAUUGCAUAAUAGUUCCAACUCAGCGAAAUGUGGCAAGUAAACAUCAGAUCUACCAUAAACCCAAUCUGAUUAACUUGCUUCAGCAAAAUACACUAGCAGAAGUCAAAAAAGGAUAUAGCACUUUGAAAACAAGCUGAUCGCCUACACGGCACAUGCCAUAGUCCGCUCUGGGUAGUUUGAACUGCGCGAAUUGGCCGCGCGAGCAGAAUGCACAAUUGGUGAGCGCCAAAUCCUGCGAAGGUGUGCUCACAACCAGCAUGGUGGGCAAGGCCUUAUCCCUGAACAUCGUGGCUGAAGUAGAUCGUCUAUCUCCAGGCAACAAGAACUACAACAACUACAACGACAAGCGGUAACAAGCCCUUCCUGCCGGUGCGCAACGCUGCUGAAUCCAGACAGCGGCAAGCACAAUUUCGUCAAAACAACAACAUCAACAACAUCGAGGGGCUUUUGAUAAAAUAAGAAUGAGCCGUGCUGCGUAGGUUUUGAGAACAGUUCGUCAGGACCGAACUCUGAUGGUCUUUCGAGGGUCGUGGCUUUGGAUGGUUUUUCCCAGAGGAACGCGUUGGAAGAAAUUUUGACCUUGCUGAACACGUCAGAUCUUUUGUGCUUGUGUGUAUUUUGUUUUUUGUUUUGUUUUGUUUUUUUUUUUGUUUUUUGUUUUUUCGCUAUUGUAAGUGCAGAAUAACAUCUUCAAAGACUGAUGUAACAAUGUCCAAAAAAAAAAAAAAAAAAAAAAAAAACUAGGGUUGUGGAGAAUACUUUAAAAUUGUGAUAUUUAUUUUGUUGUGUUUCUCAACAGACUAAAUAAAAUAUGAAAGAGUUUUGUAGCAUUAUAUCAACAUUGCUUUUAUAUGGAUAUGAUUUAAUUAGAAUUGAUUACUGUAUCUUAUGAAUUAUAGUAGGAAUUUUGUGGUUUUUUUUAAUGACUUUUGUAUUCCAAUUAUUGUUUGAUAUUUUGAAAUUUUAUCUAAAAAAAGAUAUUAGAUAAACUAUGGCAAUAUUAAGUAUUAAUCUAUGAAUGCAAAACAAUUUUUUGGGUAGUAUUUGAUUUUAAUGCUUAAAAUUAAACUAAAGUCAGAUUGAAGUCAAAUUCUAUAUAGAAAAAAUUUCUAUAUAGAAAAAAUUAUACUACAAAGGUUUUUCAAAUAUAAAUUGGAUACAAUUUAAUCAGUAAGAAAGACUAACAUAUUAUUGGACUUUGCAAAGGAUUUUAUUUGAAAGACAAAGUUGAAAUAAAUUGAGUUAUUUUCUACAUAUAAGCUAGCAAUUACAAACUAGUUUGAUAUAUGAGAGAAGUAAAUCAACUUAUUUGUUUAUUUUGGUUAAAUUUAAAAAUUAAGCAUAAGUUAACAAAAAGUAAUUAUGUUUAUAUUCAAACUCUAGAUUAUCAUUGCUAAUGCUUUAAAUAUAUGCACAUUUCAGUCAAUUUGGUGAAUUUAAUAUAAAUACAAUUGAUGAUAUUUGAUCUAUCAAAUAUAAAAAUAAAAAUAGUUUUAACAAAUAUUAGUUGUUAAGCUUAGAUUUUACAUUGAUUGGAUAACAAUUCAAUAAACAUAAUUAUAUAAGUUGGUAAUAUAUGUCACUAAAAAAGAAGGAUAAAACUUAUUAUUUAAUAGACCUAAAAGUCUAAAUUUUGGAUACUUUGAAUGUAAGCAAGUCUAAAUUUUUGGUAGAUUAGAAGAUUUUUUUUCAACUUUUUUUUAGUUUACAAGGAAUUUGUUGUUUAGCUUAAACCAACAAUAGAUGGUAACUCUUCUUACUAAGUAUCAAGCUACAAAUAUUAAUCCAAAAAUAGUCUCUCAUAUAUCAAAGUUGACAAAUUAUAGACAAUAUUAUUUGCACUAACUAUUAGUUUCAAUUAGAAUGCCUAUAAUCUAACUUUUAUAGGUAUUGCAAGCAUUAGACUUGAAUAAAAAUAAAAAUAAAUAAAUAAAAGAAAGAAAAAUCAAUCAAUUAAAAAGUAAUAUUUAUUUAAAAUUAAUUAUUAAUAUUUUUAAUAUUAUUAUAUUAAUAAAUAUGGUAAUAAUACCUAUUGUAUCAUUUUGGAUAUUUAAUACUAUUUGAUACUUCUCUCUCUCUUUGCACAUGUAUACACAACCAUCAGCCUUUGUAAUUAUUUAUAUUGCUUUUAUUAAUUAUAUGCAGCUAUUUAAUUUUUUGUUAGUUGCUAUUUAUUUUCUUCACUUGAUCUAUUUUAAUCCAAGUUUUAAGAUAUCUAAUAUUUUAAGAAUUGAGUAUCUCCUCCCUAACUUCUACUAUCUAUUUUUUAAUUUAGAUCUUUCUAAUAGAUUGGUUCUUUCAAACUGCCUUUAGCUAAUAAGGCCUAUUGUCAAUAUUUUUAUUUUAUUUGAAGUGUAUCCUUGGACACUUCUAUAUUACAAGUUUAGUGGUCAAAUGUUGAACUUCAAUUCUUUUUUUAUUACAAAACAAGAUCUUAACAAAGUUCACAUCUAAUCUUGAUUUAUAUCUAAUACAAUCCAAUUAUUAAAAGAUGCAAUUGUAUUUUUUUUAAGAGAUAAAGAAAUCCAUAAUUCCAAAUGUUGAGAUCUUGAUUGUAGAGUCUUUUUUGUUAAAAGAUAAUACAUAAGACUUAAGUGGUUUGGCAUGGAUUAGACUAUGUCCAAAAAAUAUUUUAAUAUCUAAUUGAAGGUAUUAAUAAUGUUUCAAGCUAUACUAAAUAUUUGGCCCUUCUUAUAAUAAUCAAAGUGGUUUGAGGUUGUUGACUAUUGAAGCUAACUUAUAAACAUGUAUAAAGUCAAAUCUACACUUUAUGAAUCUUUAAAACAUGUUUUUUACAAGAUACUAUCAAAUUUACCUAUUUUUAUUUAUUUCUACUUAAUUUCUUUUAUUUAGGUAAUUACCAAUGUUAAUUUAUGUCUAUGAUAUUAUCCCAUUUUUAAAAGUAAGUUCUAUGACGAAUAGUGAUUAAAUAUUGAAGAAGUCUAAGAUGUAACAAAUUAUAUUUAUUAUAUAUUGUAAACUUUGUUUGCUUUGAAGGUAUUAUAUAUAUUUAAUAAAAAGAUUCAAAGAAUAUUUAUAGAAUAUUAUAUUAGGUUUUAGAAGGUUUCAAAAGAUUUUAAAAAUAUUCCUAAAAAUAUUUCUAAAAGAUUUCUAGAAGAUUCUUGAAGGUUCUUAAAAUAUUCUAAUAAGUUCUAGAAAGUUCUAAGAAAAUUAAUGAAGUUGUUUGAGAAACUUCUUAAGGUUGCUUUAUCUUCAAGCAAUCUUAAGAAGCUUCUUAAGAUUGCUUUAUUUUCAAGCAACAUGGAAACUUCUUGAGAAGCUUCCUAAAGUUACUUCAUCUUUGAAUAAUAUGAAAACUUCUUAAAAAGCUUCUUAAUAUCUAAUAUAUAUUGGAGUCAAGGCUAAAGAAAUGCUUAGUCUCAAUAAUACAUCUCUUGGAGUUUUACCUCACCUUUUUUGAUGUUGAUCUUAUAUUCAUUUGAUUUAAUCAAGUUCUUUUUAGUUUUCUUGUUAAAACUCUUCCAUUCAAUUUCUUGUUUGGUCUCUUAUAUAAUGCAUUUGUAAUAAUUUUUCAAGACUACUAUCUAAUUAAUAUUAGAAUUUGAACUUUGUAAAUAGAAAAUGCAUUAUCUUUCUUCUUAAAGACAUCUGAGUACUUUAGAGGUUGCAAAGUAUCCUCUUCUAAAUUGAUAUUAUUUAGAAACUUUUUUAUUUUUACUUUUAAAAUAGAUAGAGGUGAAGAUGUUAAUAUAAUUGAAUUUUCAAAGUCUAAAUUAGAUGUUAUUAUGAAUAUACUCAAAAUUUUAGCUUAUAGAACUAUUUAAAUUGAAAAUUUUUUUGCAAGAUUUUAUAGUGAUACAAGACGUAGAUCAAGUCAACAUGUGAUACAAUUACUUUUUUAAGCUUCUUUAUCCAAGGAGGCACUGGCAUCUAUACUUUAACAAGAAAUAUUAUCUAUUCAACAAUGUAAAGAGCCUCAAAUUAGUCUUUUAGAAAAGCUUGAUAGCUCAUGUUUAAAGUUUGAAGGAUUUAUUAACCAAAUUCAAUUGGUAACUUUUCUACAAUCUGAGCGCUAUCCAAAAAAAGAGUUCCAAGUUAAUUUAGUUGGAACCUUCCUCACAAAACAAACCUUAUUUUGAUUUUUUCCUUUAUUUGAGCAAAGAUCUCUAAUCUUGAAUAAUUUUAAAGCUUUCUCAAAACCGUUGGUAAAAAUAUUUGGAAAAUAUGAUAGGAUGUAAUGAGCAACAACAAAGAUUUGUUCAUUACAUCAAUGGUCUCAUUUUACAUCAAUUUAUGCAUUUGAUUUUAAGCAAUUGUCUUAUGACAUCAAUUGAGAUGAAUAAGCUCUUAUGAUCUAAUUCUAUUUGAGACCAAGAGAUGCUAUAAAAGACCUAUUAUUAUAAUUAUGUGAUCUCCAAAUAUUCAAUGAAGCUAUUAGCAAAGUUGUGAAGUAUAAUAAUUGAUUAUUUCAAUGCUAUCAAGUUCAACACUUGUAUACUUUAAUAAAACAACACACUAAAAUUUCAAAAUCUAUUACUUCAAUAAAUACAUUACGUCCACACUUUGGAGCUGAGGAUAUGCAAAUUGAUGCAAUAUAAUUCAAACCUCUUAGAGUAGAAGAGAAGAAGCAUCAAUUUUAAAAAGGCUUAUGCUUAUAUUAUAGUAAAGAAGAUCACAAAUUUGAAAAUUGUUUAAAGAAACAACAUACAACUAGGAUUAGGAGUAUAAUUAUUUAGGAAAACCAAGAAGUCCAAUCAUAAUAAAAAAACAUACAACUAAACAUUUCAAUGCCUCAAAUUCAUCAAAGUCCAUCUCUUUUUAUCCAAUCUAUUUAUUGUUUUAUUAUACUUUUAUUUCUUAGCCCACAAAAACUUUUUAAAAAUGUCUUAUUAGAUUCAAGAGCAUUUGCUUACUUUAUAGAUGAGGAGUUUUUCAAACUUCAUAAUAUUCUUCUAAUAUAGAAGUCAAAACCUAUACAUAUAGAAAUAAUAGAUGGUCAAGUUUUAUCUUCAAGCAAUGUUAUUCAUGAGACCAUACUGCUAGAAAUAACAUUUGAAGGCUAUAGUAGCAAAAUAAUAUUCAAUAUUAUUAAAUUUCUCUCCAAUUAUAUCAUUCUAGGACUUUUGUAGUCAAAAAGAUAUAAUCUAUUUACAAAUUUAAAUUAGAGGUGUUCCAAGGUUGAAUUUCUUGUAGAAUCCCUUUGAGAAAAAUCUAUCAAGAAAUCAUAAACAAAAAAGGCCCUUAUUUUUGAAAGCAAGGACUUUUGUGAAGAUAGCUAAGAAGGAAAUGCCAUUUGUUAGGUUGGUGGUUCGUCCCCCCUUUUGGUUCACUAUCUGUGUGGAGCACACACAACUAAUAAGAAUGCGAUGUAAAUACGGCUUCGUAACCUCUAACCGUCAGUGAAAAGUUGUCCCUGUAUCUAACUGGUUCCGAACUGCACAUCCAGGAUACGGUUCCUCAGAUUGGAGCAAACUCUUUGUCUCCGCACCACAUCAAAACUUUUCAGCACUCUCGACAGACAACCCAAUGCUCAAUCAGUGAACUCCACACAGACUACACUCCUAUUUUCCGGCUUCAUCCAUCAGGUCACUGGUAUCCAUAGUGAUAUAAAUACAUCAACCAAUUCAUAAAGAUCAACCAAAGCAAUCUUGGCACUUGAAAAAACUCGUACACCUGACGUCCUACCCUUGGCAUUUACAGAAAACAAACUGGAUGCUGAACAAUGCCUGACCUUG
rnacentral:lncRNA from 1 species